rnacentral:sRNA from 1 species
UUGCAGCCCGACUUGAGCGGAAAUCCUUUUUUGCAUGCUCUCAAGUACUAUUUAAUGUGAAAUUGUCUGCAAAAAAGAUUGGGAGCGGAAGGCGGAAAAGCU